CUGGAACAUUAAUAUUUACUUCCAUACAAGAACGUCAUGAUGGAACAUACAACUGUACAGCUAGAAAUUAUAUGAACCGAACGUUUGGAACACAGGAAGUAGGACAAAGUGCUACAAGUCUACAGAUACAGGUUUUAUAUGCUCCCUCUGUCACCUAUGUGAAUGUUGAACCUAUUAUAGAAGGAUCGGCACUGACAGUUGAAUGUUAAGUUGUACCGGGUAACCCAGCAAAAACAUUUUACACAUGGCAGAGAAUGUCAAGUAGUUUAUCUGGAAACACUUGGCAAAAUAUAUCUGAUGCAGUUGUAACUGACGGUCAGCUACGGAAACAAAACAUAAACAGGAAUGAUGCUGGAACAUACAGAUGUACGGCAUCAAAUAUGAUAAUACCAACCGCUGGACAGUCACAGGAAGGUUCCAGCUCACGGACAUUUAUUCUCAAAGUUUUAUAUAAAGCUUCUGUCUCAAGUUUUAUUGAAGUUAAUCACCCUACUAUGCACGAAGUAACAGUAUCUGAAAACUCUUCAAUUCGUCUGCAGUGUGAAGUAGAUAGUUAUCCAGGAUCAAGAAUUAGAAUUUUGAAAGACGGUGAGACUCAAAACUCAACCGAAAAUACAAGUCAGAUUUCAUUUACAAAUUCAAAAGUAGCUUGUGAUACCGCGGGCAUCUACAGCUGUGUUGGUUUUAAUGAAUACAACACGGAAGGAAACAAAGCAUCUAAGGAUUUGCAACUUUUUGUUACAUGUUCGCCCCGUUUAUCAUCUCCAGAAGACUUUAAGAGCACUAUUACAAGUACCUUAGAUGAAGUAACAAGAAUAAAGAUAACAGUCAUAGCAUUUCCCGUACCGAAAUAUUCUGACUUUGUUUGGUUCCGAUGGAAUGGGAGCACGUGGGAGACAUUGACAAACGAUAACACUAAAAUAAUACACACUCAUGGUUUUGAAUCAACUCUGAUAUUUCUGCGUGUAAAAGAGUCUGACUUUCAGCGAUAUAGAGUGAUCGUAAGAAACAGUGUUGGACAAUUCCAGCAAGAAUUCUUUCUAGAGCGGCAAGCGGAACCAACGAAGACAGAAGCAGUUGUGAAUGGUGGUAUGGUUGGUGGUAUUGUUGGUGGAGUUGUGGUUAUCAUCUUUGUUGUAGCUGUUGCGGUUGUUUGUAUAUUACGAAGGUCGCGUUUUCUCCAAAGAAAAGAGCUGGAAAGAAAAGAAGAACUAAGACUCGGGUAAAAAUUCAACUGGCAGUCAGCAAGAAACAUACACAGAGCUCCAGUCUAUUGAAGAUAACAAGAAGGAACAUAUUUAUCAUGAAAUAGAAUAGAAUUACAUGCAGAGGGAGGAUAAAGAAUGCGUAAAUGAAAAUGAAUAAAUAAAGAGAGACGUCAUUAGCUAGCUUUCUUCUUGUCUAGAAUGUGAAAGGGAAUGAAUAUUGUGAAUUGAUAUUUGAGCUUUUAACAUUUUGCCUAAAGCAACCUAUUUAUUAGUAGUCAAGAAUUAUAUAGAAAUGUAUAAUAUAUGAGCAAUAUACUACGGAUUGAUACUUCUCCAAGAAGUAAUUAUUAGUACCUUUUUAUAUUUGCCGUGUAAAAACCUCCCGAGUUGUACCUGUGAAAAUAACAUAGCAUAAUAUUUGAUUGAACAAAAACAGUUUUAUAUCCUAACGAUGCCGCACAAGAAUAACAGUUAUGUUGUAUGUUGUACAGAUGUCUAAAAUUAUAACUUUUCAAAACAAUAUAGUUAUAAUGUUUUAUGUUAGCUUUGCUAGCAAUGCUAUAUAGAUGCCUAUGUUAACCCUAUUGUUAUUUCUCGUUCAUAAUACAUGUGCUCUUAUGCCUAAUAUGUGAAUUGUAUCCUUCUCAUCUUAUGGAGGAUGUAAAACAUAUAUAUUACUACAAAACGAUUUACAAUUUACUGAUAUUCCGAGUAAGGGCUGUACAAAAGGAUCAUAGUUUACUUUGCUUUAGAACAGUUCUGCGCCUUUAAAUCACAUCACUUUUAAUCAGUGGUAGAGGCGGGAGAGUAUUGAUGACGACUCACGGCUCAGACGUCGGACGAAAAUAACUUACAUUCACUUUUUGAAAAUUAAAAGUUCCCAUGUAUGUAUCACAAUAAUAAUAUCUUUUAUUUCAUCCAAUUCUGAAGAGCAGUGUCAAAAACCUCAGGAAUAUCUAUAAACAGUUUUUACUUGUUCGUAGGAAGGUGUGGAAAAUGCAUUAAAUGGUGAGAUUGACCCAUUGAUAAUGACGAAUUGUAUUGAUUACCUUUUUGAUAUGCCGUUGUUUGAUAGUAACCUUGCUUUAGAAACGGUAUAUAAAUAAUAUUUAUAUCCUGAAAUAUGUAGUUUAAGUAUUCACAUUCAGUAUGUUCUUAAUUAUCAUUUUCAAAUUUCAUCAAAGUAGGACCAAAAAUAAAGAUAUUAGAGUACUUUUAGGGUGUAUAUUGAACAUCCCUCGUACAUAACUGAAUUCAUAUAAAUACCUUAUAUAGCCAACUUAGCCGCAUACCGAUUUUAGGCCCAAUAUAAAGAAAUACAUUUUAUCUAAAUGGCAAUCGUCAUGGAACAGUGCUUCAUUCAAUAAACUUCG
rnacentral:misc_RNA from 1 species